UUCUGUUUUGAAAUUAAGAGUUAGUAUAUAUUUAACAAAAUGUGUUUUUGAGAAGAAAAUUAUCAAUUUGGCCAAUUGUGUCUUGUAGGUGUGAGUCUGUGUUAAGAGUUUAGAAAAAAAUUCUGAAGUAUGGGUAAGUGCUUGUUUGAAAAAAACUGUAACACACAAAUGCGUCUUUAAAUCACUGCACUUGCACAGACGACCACUUCCUCUUUUUUUAAACCUUCCCACUGAAAAUAGAGAAUGUGUCAAAGAACGAGGAAUCUACAAAAGCAACUUUUCUCAGAAAUUAUCCUGCACAUUACGUAAAUGAUUCUUAUGAGCAGUGUCUAAUGGCAGAAACAUGUUUGAACAUAAAUAAAAUAUUAAUCUACAAUAUAAAGAUACAAAAAAGUGACUGACAUUAAUGAAAGAAGUGUAUAACAUGGAGUAAUGAGUAAAUGCUUACAUGCACAUUUGAAUCAACAACUUAUAAUGCAAAUGAUCCAAAUUUCAUCCUCUUCGUCUAUUUGAAGAUGGUUCACCUGACUCGUGGUCUAAAAAUCCCAGGCUGAUCAGUGGAAACUGUUGGCAGAUCUUUUUGUAAAUGCUUCUCAAGUCUUCCAAUAAGACCAAGACCUAGAGCGGUGAAGUCUGAUGAAAUAAAUGUUGUGCAACAUGAUCUCACUUGGCUGAUCUGAGGCUGCAGCCAAAUCUGCAGCGCUCAGCAGUUGCGUCAAUUUUUCGGCAAAACAACAACUGAUUCUCUAUUUUCAGUGGGAACGUUUUUGAAAAAUAGGAAGUGGAAAAUAAAAAGAAAGUGUUCGUCUUUGCGUCUGUCUAAGUCCAUUGUGUUAAAGAUGCAUUUGGGUGUUAAAGUUAAGGAACCUGUCAACUAAUACUACUAGUACAAUACAACAUAGAGUAUUGACACAAAUUAUUGACAUCCACCUCCUUAGUCAGAGUCCUCUGUCCUGGGUGAGACAUUUAAAGAGACCUCUUGCAACCAUUGAGAGGUCAUGAUGUGGUUCAAUGUGUAAGAAAUAAAGUAUAUGGAUGAAGUAACAUUCAGCAAUGAAUGAUUCAUCAUAUAUUGUGUGUGAUGUUUAUUGUAUCAUGUGUCUACUGUUUUUACAGAGCCCAUUGUGACUCCUGUGUUUGUGCAGAAGGGACAUGAUCUGAGCACAAGCAAGCAGCUGAUGUCUGUCCUACAGCUGCUGACUGACUACAAUUGGGUAUGUGUGUCCUAUACUGAGUCAUGAUAUUCAUGUCAAACUGCCUGAAGACAAAAAGAACUACAAGAUUUAAAGGAUACAAAGAAGAAUCCACACAUCUCAUAAAGUUUGACUUACCGUUGAACAGCAGAGGGCAGUAAAACCCAAGAAUGCUGAUGAAACCCACAGUGCAUCAGAAUGACCAUCCGAAUCAGUGGGCCCCGUAUUACACAACAAAGUUGUGAAUACUGUAGUAUGAGUUUGAAUAAAUACCACACGUCUCUUUCACAGCCGAUACUUUGAUUUGUCCCGACAGAAUACACACAGGUUUAACGAACAGAAUCAGCAGUGGAUCCGCUCUGUCGUCCCAGUAAGCCAUGACAGUGAGACGCUAAGAGAGCAUUUACAGCACCGGGGCCCCUGAAAGGAAGCAGAUCAAUGCAUUUCAGGCAACAUUAAUUCUAUUAUCUACACCUGUGCUUUUCCUAAUGUGACAUGUCAUAAUAUUUGUUACAAUGUAUUGUAAUGUGCUUGACUUAAUUCAACAACAAGUCUUUGUAAUAGGUUAUCGAAGAAUGACACCAUUUAAAUUCAUGUUUAAUUUGAAUUGCUGCGUACAAUAACAUUACUGUGUAAGAACAUGAAUAAAGUGUUCAUAUGCUGUUACAGAGUGGUGGACAGUAUUGCAGUGAGUGUUUAACUACCAUUUACGAGUAACUAUACUGUUUUUAGGGUGUUCUAACUUUUAUCCUCCUCCUGAAAGUUAUAUGUGUUGUUUUUAUUUUGAGUUUCUUUUAAUAUUUGAAUGUUUUGUUGCAUGCGAAAUGCACACAUCAUUGCUUAAAUACAUUCAUGUAUAUUUCUGUGUGGCUUGAAGGACGUUUUAGUUGCACUUUCCUUGCGUGUGUAUGUGUGCGUGUUCUCCAUACAAGGCUGGUCACGAAGGUCAUAAAGAGGAAGUCCCUGCGGUCAGUAAGAAGGAGCGCAUGUUUUGCUUGAUGUCAUAGUCCGCAUCCUUCAAUUUCCUCUCCUUCAUCCAUCUAUACUUGCCUUUGACCGUGGUGGAAAACCCAUGCAGCGUGUUUAGCGGGCCUUAGUUUAUGUGGGUGAGCCUGUCUGCGCGUGCAUAGUGAAGGAGGGUUGGUACAGUAAGAUGUUGUACUAAUCAUCUUUUGCUCAAGCUUGUGGUGGACCUUCUGCACAAAAGGUUACCUUCAAAUUAUUGUGACUUAUUUUAUAAGUGACCUUGAACAAUCUUAAUUUAUCCUCACACUAGCAUGCCUCAUUCCAACAUUAAAUAUAUACAUUUUAAAUUAUUACAACUUGUCUUGUGUCUACUUUUAUAGCAGAAUGGCACAUUUGUGAUAUGUAAAUUGUGAAUAUGCAAAGCCAACAGCUUAUAGCUACCCAUUGAAACUGAGACAUCAGAGGGCAAAUCACCAAGAUUUACCUUUUUUUAUGAAUUAUAAUACUUGCA
ensembl:lncRNA